AUUGAACGCUGGCGGCAUGCCUUACACAUGCAAGUCGAACGGCAGCACGGGGCAACCUGGUGGCGAGUGGCGAACGGGUGAGUAAUGCAUCGGAACGUACCUUUCAGUGGGGGAUAACGUAGCGAAAGUUACGCUAAUACCGCAUAUUCUGUGAGCAGGAAAGCAGGGGAUCGCAAGACCUUGUGCUGAUUGAGCGGCCGAUGUCAGAUUAGCUAGUUGGUGAGGUAAAGGCUCAACCAGGCGACGAUCUGUAGCGGGUCUGAGAUGAUGAUCCGCCACACUGGAACUGAGACACGGUCCAGACUCCUACGGGAGGCAGCAGUGGGGAAUUUUGGACAUUGGGGGCAACCCUGAUCCAGACAUGCCGCGUGAGUGAAGAAGGCCUUCGGGUUGUAAAGCUCUCUCGGCCGGGAAGAAAUCGCACGGGCUAAUACCCUGUGUGGAUGACGGUACCGGAAUAAGAAGCACCGGCUAACUACGUGCCAGCCGCCGCAGUAAUAC
rnacentral:rRNA from 1 species